rnacentral:rRNA from 1 species
UCAAACCAAAAGUUAGGCGACCGGCGCACGGGUGAGUAACACGUAUCCAACCUGCCUCAUACUCGGGGAUAGCCUUUCGAAAGAAAGAUUAAUAUCCGAUAGCAUAUAUUUCCCGCAUGGGUUUUAUAUUAAAGAAAUUCGGUAUGAGAUGGGGAUGCGUUCCAUUAGUUUGUUGGGGGGGUAACGGCCCACCUAGUCAACGAUGGAUAGGGGUUCUGAGAGGAAGGUCCCCCACAUUGGAACUGAGACACGGUCCAA